rnacentral:rRNA from 1 species
AGUGAACGCUGGCGGUAGGCCUAACACAUGCAAGUCGAACGGCAGCACAGUAAGAGCUUGCUCUUACGGGUGGCGAGUGGCGGACGGGUGAGGAAUACAUCGGCAUCUACUUUUUCGUGGGGGAUAAUGUAGGGAAACUUACGCUAAUACCGCAUACGACCUACGGGUGAAAGCAGGGGAUCUUCGGACCUUGCGCGAUUGAAUGAGCCGAUGUCGGAUUAGCUAGUUGGCGGGGUAAAGGCCCACCAAGGCGACGAUCCGUAGCUGGUCUGAGAGGAUGAUCAGCCACACUGGAACUGAGACACGGUCCAGACUCCUACGGGAGGCGGCAGUGGGGAAUAUUGGACAAUGGGCGCAAGCCUGAUCCAGCCAUACCGCGUGGGUGAAGAAGGCCUUCGGGUUGUAAAGCCCUUUUGUUGGGAAAGAAAAGCAGCAGGUUAAUACCCCGCUGUUCUGACGGUACCCAAAGAAUAAGCACCGGCUAACUUCGUG